rnacentral:rRNA from 1 species
AAACUUUCAGCAACGGAUCUCUUGGUUCUGGCAUCGAUGAAGAACGCAGCGAAAUGCGAUAAGUAAUGUGAAUUGCAGAAUUCAGUGAAUCAUCGAAUCUUUGAACGCACAUUGCGCCCGCCAGUACUCUGACGGGCAUGCCUGUCCGAGCGUCAUUU